rnacentral:rRNA from 1 species
AGGUAGCGAAAUUCCUUGUCAGGUAAGUUCUGACCCGCACGAAUGGCGUAAUGAUUUGGGCACUGUCUCAACAGCCCGCCCGGCGAAAUUGUAGUACUGGUGAAGAUGCCAGUUACCCGCAACUAGACGGAAAGACCCCAUGGAGCUUUACUGCAGCUUAAUACUGAGAUUCGGUAAUUCAUGUACAGGAUAGGUGGGAGACUUAGAAGCAGAGUCGUUAGGCGCUGUGGAGUCACCCUUGGGAUACCACCCUUGGAUUGCUGGGUUUCUAACCUGCGGCCGUGAAUCCGGUCGGGGGACACUGUUAGGCGGGCAGUUUGACUGGGGCGGUCGCCUCCAAAAGAGUAACGGAGGCGCUCAAAGGUUCGUUCAGCACGGACGGAAAUCGUGCAUUGAGUGUAAACGCAUAAACGAGCCUAACUGCGAGACCGACGGGUCGAGCAGUAACGAAAGUUGGAGUUAGUGAUCCGGUGGUAUGUGAGUGGAAAUGCCAUCGCUCAACGGAUAAAAGCUACCCUGGGGAUAACAGGCUGAUCUCCCCCAAGCGUCCACAGCGACGGGGAGGUUUGGCACCUCGAUGUCGGCUCGUCGCAUCCUGGGGCUGUAUUCGGUCCCAAGGGUUUGGCUGUUCGCCAAUUAAAGCGGCACGCGAGCUGGGUUCAGAACGUCGUGAGACAGUUCGGUCCCUAUCUGUUGCGGGCGUAAGAGAUUUGAAGGGAGCUGUCCUUAGUACGAGAGGACCGGGAUGGACGUACCUCUGGUGCACCAGUUGUCCUGCCAAGGGCAUAGCUGGGUAGCUAUGUACGGACGAGAUAAACGCUGAAAGCAUCUAAGCGUGAAACUCUCCCUAAGAUGAGAUCUCUCAUCCUUUAUGGAGUAAGGGCCCAGAAAGACGAUCUGGUUGAUAGGCCGGAGGUGGAAGUACAGUAAUGUAUGCAGCUGACCGGUACUAAUAGCCCGAGGGCUUGACCUA